AACCCUAAUUUUACAAAUCCUACCGCGGGACCACCACCCUCGACGGCUCCAACACCCUGAACGGCCGACGUCCCCAGCACCGCAUGCGGAGGAGCACCGAAGCACAGGCAGACCACCACCGCCGUAUACUACUGGAGCUCAAACACCACAGCCACCGCCGCUGAGCACCGAAGCCUUCAAUACCACCACCAAUAUCAACCGUGCGACCACCACUCCCAACCGCUGCAACACCCUGAACGGCGGACCUCCCCACCAGGUAGUGCUUUAUAGGAAAAGUUCAACUGCUUCUGCUGAAGAGGUGCAGAAGUAGUCAAACGUCCACUGAAGCGUCCAGCUCCUCCUCGCUUGGGAAGAAAGUUAACUGAGACUCAAAAUGCAAGCGUCUUCUUGAAUUUUACGAGUUGAUCUAGCUAUGGAAUUUCAAGAUGAAAUCAAUUUGCAUACUCCUAAGUCAAUACUAAUAGCAUAUAACUUAUUGAGAAUUAGGUUAUCUUUCGCACAUUAUGAUUUUACAAACUCUCUUUCAAACCCAAAAUUUUCUUCAAAUCAUUUAAUGAUGUGGUAGCUCAUGUUGCAAAUGUUGUGCUUGCCCUUAGUAAGUUUUGUUUUGCCAAAACUUUGCGUUACACCGUAGCAAUUGUAAAGCAUAGGUUAAGUCAAUUUUUGACCGAAUUUAUGUUUUAGUAAUAUAUCAUUGAAUGUCGAUGCAUGCUAAUUAGAGAGCAAAUGUUUGACACAAUGUAUCUUUUAUUUAGGGUAUUCUGUUUACAUCAUAAAAGAGAAAACUUGUUAGCUCAUAGUAGAACAAAAUGUGACAAUGUUGAUGGUGCUUCAAAAUAGGGGAGCAGUCAUAUUCUUACUCCAUGAGCUAUUCGCAGCAAAGAUCGUCCUCUAUUCAAAAGAAAGUAAUCAAAGGUUAAAUAAAUUGUUCGUAAAGUAAAAGAGAAGAAAUUGCAAAAGCAAGAAAAUGAGGAUAAAGCUUGAAGGUAAAAACUUAGAUUGCUGGAUACCGAAGCAUGUGUGCCUCUUGUAGUUUGUUUAGGACUAAUGUGGGUGUUACAUGAGUAAUGUGGUUUCAUUUUACCUCUUACGUUGUAUUACGGUGAUUUCUCAUGUACUAGCUCUAUUUGUAUUUUGGCUGUUGAAUAGUGAUUGAAAUUUCAAAUAUUGUUGAA